rnacentral:rRNA from 1 species
UACGGAGGGUCCAAGCGUUAUCCGGAAUCAUUGGGUUUAAAGGGUCCGUGGGCGGUUUUGUAAGUCAGUGGUGAAAGCCCAUCGCUCAACGGUGGAACGGCCAUUGAUACUGCAAGACUUGAAUUAUUAGGAAGUAACUAGAAUAUGUAGUGUAGCGGUGAAAUGCUUAGAGAUUACAUGGAAUACCAAUUGCGAAGGCAGGUUACUACUAAUGGAUUGACGCUGAUGGACGAAAGCGUGGGUAGCGAACAGG